rnacentral:rRNA from 1 species
UGUUCGUUAUUUAGGGCGCAUGGUGGAUGCCUUGGCAUGCUGAGCCGAUGAAGGACGUGAAAGGCUGCGUUAAGCCUCGGGGAGUUGUCAAUUGAGCGUUGAUCCGAGGAUGUCCGAAUGGGGAAACCUGGCACCUGUUAUGGGGUGUUACCCUUCAGUGAAUUCAUAGCUGUUGUGGGGGUUACGCGGGGAAGUGAAACAUCUCAGUACCCGUAGGAAGAGAAAAUAAUAAUGAUUCUGCUAGUAGUGGCGAACGAACGUGGAUGAGGCUAAACCGUGUGCAUGUGAUACCUGGUAGGGGUUGUGUGUGCGGUGUUGUGGGCCCUGAUGAGGAUGGCUACUGACGUCCUGCCCGCGCAUUGUUGUUAGGUGAAGUGGUGUGGAAACGCCUGCCGUAGAAGGUGAUAGUCCUGUAGCUGAAGAUGAUGGUGUGUGGGUUGUUGGGUUGCCCGAGUAGCAGCGGGCUCGUGGAAUCUGCUGUGAAUCUGCCGGGACCACCCGGUAAGCCUAAAUACUCAGUGUGACCGAUAGUGGAUAGUACCGUGAGGGAAUGGUGAAAAGUACCCCGGGAGGGGAGUGAAAUAGUUCCUGAAACCAUGUGCUUACAAUCCGUCAGAGCACUUUUUGUGUGUGAUGGCGUGCCUUUUGAAGAAUGAGCCUGCGAGUCAGCGGCAUGUCGCGAGGUUAACCCGUGUGGGGUAGCCGUAGGGAAACCGAAUCCUAAUGGGGUGUCAAGUGGCAUGUCCUGGACCCGAAGCGGGGUGAUCUACCCAUGGCCAGUGUGAAGCAGCAGUAAGAUGCUGUGGAGGCGCGAACCCACGUAGGUUGAAAACUGCGGGGAUGAGCUGUGGGUAGGGGUGAAAGGCCAAUCAAACUCCGUGAUAGCUGGUUCUCCCCGAAAUGCAUUUAGGUGCAGCGUCGCAUUAGCUUGGUGGAGGUAGAGCUACUGGUUGGUUGAGCGGGACUACAAUCUUAGCAAUGUCAGCCAAACUCCGAAUGCCAUUAAUGUGUUGUGCGGCAGUGAGACUGUGGGGGAUAAGCUUCAUAGUCGAGAGGGAAACAGCCCAGAUCGCCGGUUAAGGCCCCUAAGGGUGUGCUAAGUGGAAAAGGAUGUGGGAUCGCGAAGACAGCCAGGAGGUUGGCUUAGAAGCAGCCAUCCUUGAAAGAGUGCGUAAUAGCUCACUGGUCGAGUGGUUCUGCGCCGACAAUGUAGUGGGGCUCAAGCACACCGCCGAAGCCGCGGCAAUAAUAUUUUGUUAUUGGGUAGGGGAGCGUCGUGCACGUGUUGAAGCGUUACCGUGAGGAGGCGUGGAGUGUGUGCGAGUGAGAAUGCAGGCAUGAGUAACGAAUUGGAAGGUGAGAAUCCUUCCCGCCGGAUGACUAAGGGUUCCUGGGUCAAGUUCGUCUUCCCAGGGUGAGUCGGGACCUAAGGCGAGGCCGACAGGCGUAGUCGAUGGAUAACCAGUUGAUAUUCUGGUACCCGGGUAUAUGCGCCCCUGAUAAAGCACUGAUACUAACCACCGUAAGCUGUUGUGAUUGGCCUUCGGGUUAACAUGGUGGCAAGCCGUGGGGCCUGAUGUGUGGUUCAAGCGAUGGGGUGACACAGUGGGGUAGCCAUGCCGCUUAGUGGAUUGUUGGUGUAAGCGUGUAGGUGAUGGUGUAGGUAAAUCCGCACUUGUUAGCUGAGACGUGAUGCGUAGCCUUAAUUGGUGAAGUUGGUGAUCCCGUGCUGUCGAGAAAAGCCUCUAGCGAUGUAUAUACUCGGCCCGUACCCCAAACCGACACAGGUAGUCAGGUUGAAAAUACUAAGGCGUUCGGGUGAACUGUGGUUAAGGAACUCGGCAAAAUGCCCCCGUAACUUCGGG